CCGCUGGAAGACAGUUUCUGGGAGUAGAACCCACAAGGAAGCAAGGGUCCAUCAGGUGUCCGACGCUGCAACAGGAGGGCGCCUACUCCUGUAUCAGACGCAUCCACCUCUAGGACAAAGGGCAAACCAGGAUUGGGAUGAGACAGAAUCGGAGCCGAAGCGAAAGCAGACUUGAGCCCCUCAAAAGC